rnacentral:pre_miRNA from 1 species
UGGUGUGAGAGCUUGAAGCUGCCAGCAUGAUCUGGUUGAAGGCUAGCUGCAAGAUAUGUUUGCAGAUAUAUAUGAUUUUCUGAUCACUUGGUACUUGUUGGGAGUAUGAGGAAUUAGUUCAUAUAUGGUUGUUGUUUUAGAUCUAUUAUUCUCCUGGUAUUUAGAUUUUCUUUCCUGUGGUAACCAAACUGUACAUGCUAGUGUAGUUUGCUCCAUCAGAUCAUCUUGCAGCUUCAGUCACUCACCAC